CAGUCGCCGCGGUAAUACGUAGGUGGCAAGCGUUGUCCGGAAUUAUUGGGCGUAAAGGGUGCGUAGGCGGUUUGGCAAGUUUCGUGUGAAAACUUCGGGCUCAACCCGAAGCCUGCACGGAAAACUGCCGGGCUUGAGUAUGGGAGAGGUGAGUGGAAUUUCCGGUGUAGCGGUGAAAUGCGUAGAGAUGUGGAGGAACACCAGUGGCGAAGGCGACUCUCUGGUCUGUAACUGACGCUGAGGAGCGAAAGCGUGGGGAGCGAACAGGAUUAGAUACCCCGGUAGUCCCUGUCUCUUAUAC
rnacentral:rRNA from 1 species